rnacentral:rRNA from 1 species
GUCUUUUUGAUAAUAAUUUAAGGUCUAAUCUGCUCAAUGAGGGGUUAAAUAGCCGCAGUAUUUUGACUGUGCGAAGGUAGCAUAAUAAUUAGUCUUUUUAUUGAGAACUUGUAUGAAUGAUUGAACAAGAAAAUUUUAUACUCUUUUUUAUUUUAUUUUAAAUUUAAUUUUUGAGUUAAAAUGCUCAAAUAUUUUUAAAAGACGAGAAGACCCCAUAGAGUUUUAUUUUUAUUAGAUUUUAGUAUAAUUAUUUUAAACAAAAAAUUAGUUGGGGUGACUAUAAGAUUACGUAAACUCUUAUAAUUUUAGAUCAUUGAUUUAGGAAUAUAAAAUCUAAUUUUUUAAGUUUGAAUUAAAUUACCCUGGGGAUAACAGCGUAAUUUCUUUUUAGAGUUCUUAUCAAAUAAGAAGAUUGCAACCUGUUGGAUUGAAAUUUAUUUUGGGUGUAGAAGCUUAAAUAUUAAUUCUGUUCGAUUUUUAAAAUUUU